rnacentral:lncRNA from 1 species
UCCAUACAUAGUUGUGGCCAUGGCUUCAAUUUCUGGAUCAUGAAUUUCUUCUGCAAAUUUGUAUGUAAAACGCAACAGAGUGAUCAAAUUCUCACUGAACAUUCAAACACAUACUUGAUUAAUUCAAUAUGAAACAAAUAAUCACAACUUAACAAAGCCCUAAAUCCCAACUGCUUGGGUAGAUUGACCAAAUUCCUUUGCAAAUCAAUUGUAUCUAGGUUUAUACCAUUCACUAAAUCAUUGGAAAUAGCAAAUCAAUUGUACGUACCGUUUAUGUUUCCAUGGUAAAACUAGAGAAUGUUUAUUCCAUCCAAAUCUUUUUUAUAUAUAAUUGUACAAGAUAAUGUUCCUAGAUAAUUAAUUAUAUAGAAAUACUAGCUUGACCAGUGAACAAGAAUGAAAUCCUAGAAUUCAAAUUGUCAACAAUAGCAUUGACAGGUUAAAAGCAUUCAAAGAGAAACCCUAGCCCUCUAUUUGGUUUCCACACAAAUAGAGCAAUAAAAGACAACUUAUUUCUCAUCUUUUACUUCCAAAAAAGAAAAAGGGAAAAGCCCUUCGUACUGUGAAUUUUAAGUAAAGUGGCAUGUUUCUGCAUUCCCGAAUCAUCAUUGAUGAAAAUUUUAUGAUUCAAAUCAUUGUUGGUGAAAAUUUUUCAAUUCAAAAUUCUAAUUGUUUUUUUCAUGUUUUCUUAGUAUCUAAACUAAAUAUAUUUUCAUCCAAGAAAACUAUCUAUUUUUAUACAAGCAAGCAUUUCCACUUAGCAAAUACCGUUAAUCUAACAAAAAUCUAGCCGUAAUCUAGACUGGCAAUAGUUCCACGGCUGUUCAAAGAGAAACCCUAGAAUCGAAAACUUCCAGCAAUAGCAUAUCCAACCUAUAAAGCACUCAGAGUGAAAUCCGACCCUCUGUUUGGUUACCAAGAAAAAUAAAACAAAACCACAUUUUGAUUUCUUUGUUUUCUCUCUCACUUUCUUUGCUUCCAAAAAUCCAACAAUAAAAAAUUUAAAAUUUAAAAAAUUAGAUCAACUAAGCCAAAGAGUCUUAUCAGUUUUAGGUAAAGUGCAAUCUUCUGUAUUCUCUAACCCUAGAUGGCAAAAUUUUCUUGCAUUUUCUCAUUAUUUCGAUUGUAUCCAACGGAGAAGCUGAUUGAAUGAAUUGGGAGUAGAGAUCGUAACAGUACCUUGAACUCAGAGAUCGAUCGAAACGCAGCCUUUGGAGAAGUGACAAUUGACCCUUUUUGCGUACCGACAACCGAGAGAUUGAAUGCUUCUCUGUAAACAGUUAUCGGAUCCCCUCAACUCAGAUAUCGCCCGAAACGCAGCGUUUGGAGAAGGGACGAUAGGAAUCAUAGGACGCCUACGGAGUUCAGUCGGGUAAUAAUGGGCUGGUCAUGGGCCGGCCCAAUAUCUCUCGAUCAAAUUUUACUGCCUACAUAGUUUGAUCUGAAUGAAAGCUAACUCAACUUCAUCCCCUACUUAAUUUAUUUUAGAUUUUCAAUCCAUACUCAAUUUAAUCAUGUU